UUAAUAGAUGCAACUACCAUCACAGAAUGUCUUCAUACCUUUUGUAAAAGCUGCAUCGUAAGACAUUUUUACUACAGCAACAGAUGUCCAAAAUGCAAUAUAGUAGUACAUCAGACACAACCUCUUUAUAACAUAAGGUAAGAAGAAUAUAUGUUACAAUUGUAUUUUAAAUAUACUUUUUCUGAAAGCUUGAAGUUAUAUAGUUGGAAUAAAUUCUUGACCUCUCAGGAUGGGCUCAGCGGCUAACGCCAUAAUCCCAGCACUUUGGGAGGCAGAGGUGAGUGGAUCACUUGAGGUCAGGAGUUCAAGACCAACCUGGCCAACAUGGUGAAACCCCAUCUCCACUAUUAGCCAGGAGUGGCGGCACAUGCCUGUAAUCCCAGCUACUUGGGAGGUUGAGGCAGGAGAAUCGCUUGAACCUGGGAGGCUAGUGGUUGCAGGAGCCAAGAUUGUGCCACUGUACUCCAGCCUGGGCGACAGAGUGAUGAGAAUGUCUC
rnacentral:sRNA from 1 species